UACGAACCGAGCGAACGUUGCUCGGAAUCACUGGGCUUAAAGGGCGCGUAGGCGGGUGCUCAAGUCCGGGGUGAAAUCCUCCAGCUCAACUGGAGAACUGCCUCGGAUACUGGGUGUCUCGAGUGUGGUAGGGGUAUGCGGAACUAUCGGUGGAGCGGUGAAAUGCGUUGAUAUCGAUAGGAACUCCGGUGGCGAAGGCGGCAUACUGGACCACUACUGACGCUGAUGCGCGAAAGCCAGGGGAGCAAACGGG
rnacentral:rRNA from 1 species